rnacentral:rRNA from 1 species
CAAUAGCGUAUAUUAAAGUUGUUGCGGUUAAAAAGCUCGUAGUUGGAGUUCUGCCAGGUGACACUCGUCCGCCCAAGUGGUGUGUACAGGGUGUGCAUCUGGCCCUUUCAAGGGGAACGUGUCUGCACUUCAUUGUGUGGUGCGAGAUCCUUGACUUUUACUUUGAGGAAAUAAGAGUGUUCCAAGCAGGCUCUCGUCGUGCAUAGCUCAGCAUGGAAUAAUAGCAUUGGACUUCGUUUCUACGCUGUUGGUUGCAAGAAGCGAGGUAAUGAUGAAGAGGGAUAGUUGGGGGCAUUCGUAUUUAACUGUCAGAGGUGAAAUUCUUGGAUUUGUUAAAGACGGGCUACUGCGAAAGCAUCUGCCAUGGAUGUUUUCAUUGA